rnacentral:rRNA from 1 species
GGCGAACGGGUGAGUAAUACAUCGGAACGUGCCUAGUAGUGGGGGAUAACUACUCGAAAGAGUAGCUAAUACCGCAUGAGAUCUACGGAUGAAAGCAGGGGACCUUCGGGCCUUGUGCUACUAGAGCGGCUGAUGGCAGAUUAGGUAGUUGGUGGGGUAAAGGCUUACCAAGCCUGCGAUCUGUAGCUGGUCUGAGAGGACGACCAGCCACACUGGGACUGAGACACGGUCCAGACUCCUACGGGAGGCAGCAGUGGGGAAUUUUGGACAAUGGGCGAAAGCCUGAUCCAGCAAUGCCGCGUGCAGGAUGAAGGCCCUCGGGUUGUAAACUGCUUUUGUACGGAACGAAAAGCUUGGGGCUAAUAUCCCCGGGUCAUGACGGUACCGUAAGAAUAAGCACCGGCUAACUACGUGCCAGCAGCCGCGGUAAUACGUAGGGUGCAAGCGUUAAUCGGAAUUACUGGGCGUAAAGCGUGCGCAGGCGGUUUUGUAAGACAGUGGUGAAAUCCCCGGGCUCAACCUGGGAACUGCCAUUGUGACUGCAAAGCUAGAGUGCGG